CCCCUCGUGACUUGCUGGAAUGUUCGAGGCUGGAACAAUCCGGCAAAAAGAAGAGCGGUGAAGCAGUUUUUAGAUUCGGUUAAGCCUAGCAUAGUUUGUUUGCAAGAGACCAAACUUGCUGUUGUAGAUGCUUUUCUGUUAUUGCAAUGUUGUGGCCCGUCCUUGGACAAAUUUUCCUACUUACCAGCGAAGGAGACGAGAGGUGGUAUUAUCUUAGCCUGG
rnacentral:rRNA from 1 species